AGACUUGAUUGAAUCAAAUUUAAUCAGACUUGAUCUAGAUUUUAAUGCUCAAUCAAAUUGAACUAAUUAGUGAUCUAAUAACUAAUUAAUCCUCCAUUAAAGAUAGAGUCCAAGUCUAGUGGGACUCUUCUCUAGAGUCUCCGUCUAGUGGGACUCUUCAGUAGAGUCCUCAUCAAGUAGGACUCUUCACUAGAGUCCCUGUUGACUGAGACUCUUCAGAUUAGCCAAGUGAUCGGAGAGAAACUUCUAAUGUGUGUGAUGCCAUAGGUUCGAACCUAAGCUGGUAGCACAGGAACUAAUUUCUGUACUAAUUGGAGUAACCAUCUAGUAAUGGUACCCGAUGUUCGGAUAGGUCGAAUGUAUGCUAAGCACCAUUCAAGAAUCUAUUUGAAUAUAGUUAUCGUAUAAUUCAUCCAUUUGACCCAAAUACUCAAGGUGACCUAGGAUUUAACUGCCAACCCUGAUAUAGUCAUCCAUAUUGUAUUUCAAUUUUCAAAAUCCAUCACAUGGAUUACCCCGAUCAAGGUUUCACUGAAUUGAAACAUACUGAUACAUUAACUCCUACUUAUUCAGAGGGGUCAAUUCCAUCUUGACUUACACACUGACUUCACAAGUAUUUGACUAUGCCCAGAAAUCUUUCAUCGCUAAAUUAAAAAUUCAGGUAGUCCGGCACCAAAGCAUGUGAGUUGCUUGCAAGUCAUCGUGGUGAUCUCAGAUUGGAGGGAUAUUUAUACCUAUAUCCCUUCGGAGUGAUUCUGGACAGCAGAGUGCUUCGGAGUUGGUCACGUUCAGUAAAAUAUACUCCUAUAUUUCACCUGCAUGUCAUACCAGCGUCUCCACACUCCUUGAUUAAGAGGAC
rnacentral:lncRNA from 1 species